rnacentral:rRNA from 1 species
AUGUAGGGUGCAAGCGUUAAUCGGAAUUACUGGGCGUAAAGCGUGCGCAGGCGGUUUUGUAAGACAGAGGUGAAAUCCCCGGGCUCAACCCGGGAACUGCGUCCGAUACUGGCAGGCUUGAAUCCGGGAGAGGGAUGCGGAAUUCCAGGUGUAGCGGUGAAAUGCGUAGAUAUCUGGAGGAACACCGGUGGCGAAGGCGGCAUCCUGGACCGGCAUUGACGCUGAGGCGCGAAAGCCAGGGGAGCAAACGGGA